rnacentral:rRNA from 1 species
GACGAACGCUGGCGGCGUGCUUAACACAUGCAAGUCGAACGAUGAUGCCCAGCUUGCUGGGCGGAUUAGUGGCGAACGGGUAAGUAACACGUGAGUAACCUGCCCUUGACUUCGGGAUAACUCCGGGAAACCGGGGCUAAUACCGGAUAUGAGCCGUCCUCGCAUGGGGGUGGUUGGAAAGUUUUUCGGUCAGGGAUGGGCUCGCGGCCUAUCAGCUUGUUGGUGGGGUGAUGGCCUACCAAGGCGACGACGGGUAGCCGGCCUGAGAGGGCGACCGGCCACACUGGGACUGAGACACGGCCCAGACUCCUACGGGAGGCAGCAGUGGGGAAUAUUGCACAAUGGGCGAAAGCCUGAUGCAGCGACGCCGCGUGAGGGAUGAAGGCCUUCGGGUUGUAAACCUCUUUCAGCAGGGAAGAAGCGCAAGUGACGGUACCUGCAGAAGAAGCGCCGGCUAACUACGUGCCAGCAGCCGCGGUAAUACGUAGGGCGCAAGCGUUGUCCGGAAUUAUUGGGCGUAAAGAGCUCGUAGGCGGUUUGUCGCGUCUGGUGUGAAAACUCGAGGCUCAACCUCGAGCUUGCAUCGGGUACGGGCAGACUAGAGUGCGGUAGGGGAGACUGGAAUUCCUGGUGUAGCGGUGGAAUGCGCAGAUAUCAGGAGGAACACCGAUGGCGAAGGCAGGUCUCUGGGCCGCAACUGACGCUGAGGAGCGAAAGCAUGGGGAGCGAACAGG